ensembl:lncRNA
AUGUUUCAGUUGAAAUUGUGCAAACAUAUUACAGUUACCACCAAGCACUCCUUAUUUCACUGAGGUAAUAAUUCAUAUGUGUGACAUGUACUGAAAUCAGUAUAACCGCAUUAUCUUUUCUUUUCUGUGCCCUUACUAUGCGAUGUUCAUCCUGAGCUUCCAAUUGGCAUACAACUGCAGAACAAGUGUACAACUGGAGACGGUAUGUUCUAAGACUGUCUAUCUAAAUGAAUAAUACUUAUAACGAAUCAUCAGUUGAAUCUGUACAGAUGUUCCAUGUUAUCAAUAAAGUAAUAUCUGAAGGUAAUCCAUUUUAUCUAUGCAACACACUGAAAUGAGACUUGUAUCACUGUAUUGUCUGUUCUGUUUUUGUGUCCAUACCAUGUGAGCACUAUCCUGAGAUUCCAAGAUGGUCAGUGUCCAGUCGAUCCAGCCUCGAAUUCAAACAAGUGAUCAUCAUUCACAAUCCUACAUCUCCCAUAAUUGCUCUUCUUUCUUGAGCUAAUUUCUGCAAUACGCUACAUGUGAAACUUCCUCCUUAUCCUAUAUUUGAUUCUCUAAGCCAUGAAAGUUUUUAUGAAGCAGCACAAAACCAAUAAAAAGGUUUGUGCAUCAAAACCCAAAAUCUACUGUCCACUACUAUCAAAAGGUGAGUGUACAGAGGUCUACAUUAGUUACAAUUUAAUUUACAAUUUAUCAAGCAGUUAAUGUCCCAUGAAUAUAUUUUCAGAUUUCUACAAUAUACUACACUUCAAACUUCAUUCUCCAUUAUGAUUCUCUGCUCCAUGAACUGUUUUUAUGAAGCAGCACAAAACCAAUAAAAAGGUUUGUGCAUCAAAACCCAAUAUCUACUGUCAACUACUAUCAAAAGAUUUCUGCAAUAUGCUACACUUCAAACUUCCUUCUCCAUUAUAUGGUUCUCCUCUCCAUGAACUGAUUUUAUGAAGCAGCACAAAAACCAAUAAAAGGUCAAUUUAAUUGAUGUAAUAUCUGCA